CCAAGUGAGAAGGGUUCCUCACAGAAAGGUGUGAUUCCCAACAGGAAUGUGUGUUAUUCCCACAGGAAGAUUAGGUACCCAGAAAGGAAAAUAGGUUCUCCCUUAGGAAGGUGCAUUUCAACCACAAGAAGGAGAGUUCCCCCAAAAGAAGAAAGGAUCCACCAGGGGAAGAAGUGUUGCCCUACAGGAAGGUGCAUUCCCCUCUCAGAAGGUGUGUUUCCCCAACAGUAAGAUGUGUACCCCCAAAGGAAGAAGGGUUCCCACACAUAAAUGUGCCUUCUCCUCACAGGAAGAAUGGUUUCCACACAGGAAGACAUUUUUGCCAAUAGGAAGGUGCAUUUCCUCACAAGAAGAUGUGUUCCCCAUAUAGGAAGAUUAGGUUCACGAUAGGAAGGUGAAUUUCCCCCACAUAAAAAUGUGUUCCCACACAGGAAGGUGCACUUCUCGCAAGGAAGAAGUGCUUCUCCACAGGAAGAUGUGUUCACCCACAGGAAGAAGAAUUCCUGCAGAGGAAGUAAGAUGUGUUCCUGCACAGGAAGGUGUCUUUCCCCCACAGCAAGAAGGAUUCCUGCACAGGAAGGUGAGAGGGCUCCCAAACAGGAAAAAAGAUUCUACCACAGGAAGCAGUGUAGACCUACAAGAGGGUACAUUCCCAUAUAGGAAGGCACGGUUUCCUGAACAGGAAGAUGUGUGCCCCUACAGGAAGAAGGUUUCCUGUGCAGGAGGUGCCUUCCCCACCAAAGCAAGGAUUCCAAUACAGGAAGGUGAGUUUUCCCCACUGGAAGAUACUUUCUUCUACAGGAAGGUGUAUUUCUGCAUCAGGAAGGUGUGUUUUCCCACACAAGAAGAAAGGUUCCCUCAAAGGUACAUGCAUUUUCCUCACAGGUAAAUGUGUGUUCCCAACAUGAAUGUGUUUCCCCCACAAGAAGAUUAGGUUCUCCCACCGGAAGGGGAUUUUUCCCAAUAGGAAGAUUAUUUUCCCCCACAGGAAAAUUGGUUCCCACACAGGAAGGUGCAUUUCCUCUGUAGGAAUAUGUGUUCCCUGGCAGGAAGUUUCAUUUCUCCCACAGGGAAGUGCAUUUUGACCACAGGAAGGAGUGUUCUGUAUAAAGAAAGGUUCCUCUACAGGUAGAAGUGUUGCCCUGCAGGAAGAUGCAUUCCCCUCUCAGAAGGUGUAUUUCCCCAACAGGAAGAUGUGUACCCCCAAAGAAGGAAGGGUUUUCACAUAGGAAGUUGUUUUAGCCCAGAAGAAGGGGAAUUCCCCCACAGGAAGAUGCAUUUCCCAUAUAGGAAUAUCAGGUUACCACAGAAAGAUUAAUUUUCUUCACAUAGAGGUGCAU